rnacentral:sRNA from 1 species
CAAGAGUAAAAGACGUUG